rnacentral:rRNA from 1 species
AACUUUCAGCAACGGAUCUCUUGGCUCUCGCAUCGAUGAAGAACGCAGCGAAAUGCGAUAAGUAAUGUGAAUUGCAGAAUUCAGUGAAUCAUCGAAUCUUUGAACGCACCUUGCGCUCUUUGGUAUUCCGAAGAGCAUGCCUGUUUGAGUGUCAUUA